rnacentral:rRNA from 1 species
GACGAACGCUGGCGGCGUGCUUAACACAUGCAAGUCGAACGGUGAGGCCCUGCUUUUGUGGGGUGCUCGAGUGCCGAACAGGUGAGUAACACGUGAGUGACCUGCCCUUGACUUCGGGAUACCUUCAGGGAACUGGGGCGAAUACCGGACAGGAGCUCCUGCUGCAUGGUGGGGGUUGGAAAGUUUCGGCGUUUGGGGAUGGACUCGCGGUCUAUCAGCGUGUUGGUGGGGUAGUGGCUUACCAAGGCUUUGAGGGGUAGCCGGACUGGGAGGGUGACCGGGCACAUUGGGACUGAGGUACCACCCGGACUGCUUCGGGAGGCAGCAGUGGGGAAUAUUGCAAGAUGGGCGGAAGCCUGAUGCAGCAACGCCGCGUGCGGGAUGACGGCCCGCGGGGUGUAACCCGCGUUCGCCUGUGACGAAGCGUGAGUGACGGUAAUUGGUAAAGAAGCACCGGCUAACUACGUG